rnacentral:lncRNA from 10 species
ACUUUUCAAAAUUUUAUUUGUAGUUGUUUCUACCAGUCAAUGCUGCAUUGUAUUGAUUAUUUUAUUUCCUCUAAGUUGUAUUAACAUUCCAAAACCCCAAAUCUACAAAAAUGUUUAGUCCACACAAUGACAAUGACAAUCCUUCUGAGCAUCCUUUAAAAGCACUAGCUUUAUGAUUACACUUUAUAGUUUAACUGCCAAAAGUUGUGAAAAAUAUUCAGACACCGAGAGAAGUAAAUUUGCAUAAACUAUUCUUGUCUCUAAGAUAUUUACGUUCUGUCAGUACAAAAUGCUUUAGAAAAUGACCUUAACAAUUUCUAAAAGGUAACAAAGUAUUUGAGAAAGUAUUGCUUUAUAAAUUUAUUAAGCAGUUAAGAGAAGAAAUCUAAGAGAAGAAAUCUAAUGUCUGAAUUAAAGACAACUUAAAAACUUAGUAACUUUUAAUAUGUUUAACGUCUUUUGCAAUAAGAAAUCCUAUUCAGUAAUGGGAUCUGAAUAACAUCCUGUUCAAAAAUGAGACAGACACAAGUAUAGACAUUUCGGUUCAUAAAUACCUGAUGAUUGCAGAAAUAUGACUCUAAAAGGAUCACCUUGAUUUACUUUUUCUUCUGAAAAGUAAUGAUCUAUCUUUACAUUGAGUGGAUAUCUCUUCCAUUUGAAAAUAUAAACCACCCACCAAAUGUCAAUAAUAAUGUGAUUUUAAAUAUAUCGUUAGAGAACUUCUGUCAUUUUACUUCUCUUGAAAGAAGUAGCAUACAGUUGCAUAAUCAUAACAUUGUUCAAAUUAUUAUUAUGUCUACUUUGACAAUGUAGGAUAUAGCCACAUAGAAAAGUGCUAAAUGAGUUAUUUUAACACAUUUUUAAAAGUUCAAUGAAGUAUUAAAUAUUGGAACUUUUAAAACAUUGUAAAAUAGUGCCUGAAUACAAGAUAAUAUUUUCUAAGAGACUCUAAGAAAGAACAUAAAAUAUUAUUGUCACGGGAUCCUUAGGGUAUUCCUUCUCCAGCCAGAAUCCCCUGUGUCCAGUGGCACCUUUGCCUGAGUUUUGCUUGGGCUGCUGGGCUCAUUCUGCCCACUCAGCCCAUCAGGCUGUGCUUGGCUCAUGCUACUGGCCUGGAUCCCACGUCUGUGAAGGAUAAGCGAGGCGUGGAGUGGCAAGGGGUGUCUGAGUGAGCACAGGGUCUGGCCACUGUGCAUAGCCAGGUGUACUGGCUGUGGCAGCACCAGCAUAGGCGCUGACUGCCUGUGAGGCUGUGGCUGGACCAGGCAUACUGUGAGCACUGUGUUUCCACUGUGAGCACUGGGAACCUGGUGGUGUCCAGAAGCCUGGCAAUGCCAGGAACUGCAGAGCCCCAAAGAGGGUGUCAUAGGCCUGCCUUGGGGAGCUCCUGGGUUUGGGCUCUCUGAAGGGCCACAGUUCUUCGCUCCUUCUCUCUUCUCUCUUUCGCAUUGCUGGCAAUGAGGCAAGCAUGGUCAUGUUUCAGACCUGUUUGUGUUACAGCUGUUUUAGUUCUGCCAUUUGGUGGCUCCCAAGUUCUCGUCCCACAUCUAGGAAGAAUCAGGUAUGCAGAUUACUGGCGGGAGAACAAGGUGGAGAGGAGCUUCAUUAAGCAACAGAACAGCCCUGAGGAGACCCGUAGUGGAUAGCUCCUUUCUGCAGGUGGGUUGUCCCAAUGAGUUGAGGACACCUGAAGUGGGUAGCUCCUUCCUUCCUGGCAGCUGGUAGUCCUGACAUCUGUGUAAGUCUGGCUGAGUCUGGGUUUUUUAUGGGCUCAGAAGGGAGGAAGUGCAUGCUGAUUGGUCCAUGGGUGGCCGUGGGCAGACCUGGAAAAAGCACUAUAAGUUCUCAUUCUGGGCAGUGGACUCCACCUGGAACUGGCAGCCUGGCCCCCAGGCUUCCUAACUUGAAGGUGGGGUUUUACCAGGGACCCGCCCCUUUCUGCCCAGGCACCUAUCUG